rnacentral:rRNA from 1 species
UGCUCAGGUGGUUUUAUAAGUCAGAGGUGAAAUCUAAAAGCUUAACUUUUGAACUGCCUUUGAUACUGUAGAACUUGUGUACGGAAGAGGGCGAUGGAAUUCCUGGUGUAGCAGUGAAAUGCGUAGAUAUCAGGAGGAACACCAGUGGCGAAGGCGGUCGCCUGGUCCGGUACAGACACUAAAGCACGAAAGCGUGGGGAGCAAACAGGAUUAGAUACCCUGGUAGUCCACGCCUUAAACGAUGAAUACUAGAUGUUGGGUGUAAAAAGCUCAGUAUCGCAGCUAACGCAUUAAGUAUUCCACCUGGGGAGUACGAUCGCAAGGUUGAA